AGAAGUAUGUAGUAAUAACUUAUGAGAUGCUUUGGUGUUCCCUCAGAGAAUCUGAGGCUUGAGCUAAAGAAUACCAUCCUAUAAGACGCUACUUCU
rnacentral:ncRNA from 1 species